UACGUAGGUGGCGAGCGUUACUCGGAAUUACUAGGCGUAAAGCGUAUGUAGGCUGUCGUAUAAGUCUAUGGUGAAAUUUCCUGGCUCAACUGGGAAGGGACAUAGAUACUGUAUGGCUUGAGUGUUGGAGGGGGAGACGGAAUUCCUGGUGUAGCGGUGAAAUGCGUAGAUAUCAGGAGGAACACCGAUGGCGAAAGCAGUCUCCUGGCCAAAUACUGACGCUGAGGUACGAAAGCUAGGGUAGCAAACAGGAUUAGAUACCCUGGUAGUCCUAGCUGUAAACGAUGUUCACUAGAUGUGGGAGGUAUCGACCCCUUCCGCGUCGACGCUAACGCAUUAAGUGAGCCGCCUGGGGAGUACGGCCGCAAGGUUGAA
rnacentral:rRNA from 1 species